GUGAGAAUGAUUAAUAACCAGAGUUUCUCUGGAAUCAACAUUCAUGGCAGAAGAUAAGUACUAAUCGGUAUAGUUGUUGCACAGGCUGCUAGUUGUGUGUAUUUUCAGAUAACGGGGUUAGGAUAUUCUCUUACAGAAUAUUGUUACACAUCUUAUGGAUUUAGAGAACUGGUAAUAUGUAGACCCUCUUAUACUGUGGGUUCUUGGUACUGGCUUAGAGCAUUUAGCUACUGUUUAUUGGGAAUACAUAGUGAAAGAUUAAAAUAGAAUAAAAUUAUCUGAUGCUGUGUUAAUUUUCAGAGUUGUUAAAAUUAUGUUAUGUGUAAAGGAAGGGAUAUUUCCUAUUCAUACAUUUAAUUAGAUAGAUGGUGGGUAGAUAGAUUAAAAAAAAAAGACUUCUAAAUGCUAAGAAUUCAUUUAAGCAGUGCAUGAGAUGCUCUUCAUUUAAUCCUUAGCACAGGUCUAAGAGUUAGGUACUGAUAUUAUUCUCAAGAACCUGGAUUUAGAAAAGAUGAUAACUUCCUUGCCCAAAGUCAUACAGAUAGUUAGUGAAAGACCUGCACUCUAAAUACGGGAUGUGUGCUUCCAAAUUUUAAGCUAAGUUUCUACAGUGUCCCACUGCUUUUGAGGGACUCAACACAUAAUUGACUCUCAUUCCCUUUCCUUCACGCUUGACCACCACGUCUGCUCACAGCAAGAGCAAAUGCCACCUGCUUUCUCCACAUGCAUUCAGAACAGCUCUGUUCACACCAGGGGCAUUCUUCCCAGCUGAAACUCUGGCCUGGAGUCUGUUCACACAGCCUGAGCUAAUAAAGAUCCAAGAAGCUCCUGGCUUCACUGAAAACAUCAGAGGCAAAAGAAUGCAGAAUAGGAGCAAUGGAUACUGUCCAGAGGAAAAUGGGCUCCUGUUCGAGCAGACCUUGUUUCACCUCUCAAGCAAGGGCAGAAUGUGGGAAUAUGAGGAGUCCCAAGCUGCCAUGGAAACAAAUGACCACAGGUUGUACCACAGCAUUAUUUCAUCUUUCCUAACCUCUCCCUUUAAAUUCUCAUAUUAUCUGCACUAGUAUAUUUAGUCAUUUAUUUUUUAACCCAAUCAUUGUUUCAGCAUGCAUCAUUUGUCAAAUGCUAUGUUUGGUGUUGGAGAGAUGAUAAAAGGAUAAGGCAACCCUGCUUACUACCUGCUAGAGUCUAUUUAUCUGGUGGGAAAGUCAGGUGUCUAAGCCUAGACUUGAAGGAAGAGUGGGAAUUCUCCAGUAAUUGGGAUGAGGAUGGAAAGAACUGUUUUCUGUAUGAAUAGGAAAUGUGGUGAGGCAGGAGGGUUGGAUUUGAGAGUGCAUAGGAUGAUUUCACAGAAUUCAGUCAUUCAGUGUGACUUGGAUAAGAUAUCACAGGUGGAGAGAUACACGGCUGAGUAUUAGGAGACGAAGCUGGCAGGAGGUGC
rnacentral:lncRNA from 1 species